AUUGAACGCUGGCGGCAGGCCUAACACAUGCAAGUCGGACGGUAGCACAGAGGGCUUGCUCUUGGGUGACGAGUGGCGGACGGGUGAGUAAUGUCUGGGGAUCUGCCCGAUAGAGGGGGAUAACCACUGGAAACGGUGGCUAAUACCGCAUAACGUCGCAAGACCACAGAGGGGGACCUUCGGGCCUCUCACUAUCGGAUGAACCCAGAUGGGAUUAGCUAGUAGGCGGGGUAAUGGCCCACCUAGGCGACGAUCCCUAGCUGGUCUGAGAGGAUGACCAGCCACACUGGAACUGAGACACGGUCCAGACUCCUACGGGAGGCAGCAGUGGGGAAUAUUGCACAAUGGGCGCAAGCCUGAUGCAGCCAUGCCGCGUGUAUGAAGAAGGCCUUCGGGUUGUAAAGUACUUUCAGCGGGGAGGAAGGCGGUGAGGUUAAUAACCUUGCCGAUUGACGUUACCCGCAGAAGAAGCACCGGCUAACUCCGUGCCAGCCGCCGCCGUAA
rnacentral:rRNA from 1 species